CUUACUGCCGUACGAUCUCAUCACGGUGUUGAGGAUUGAUUUUUUUAAUGGGUUGCGGGUCGAGGAAAACUGAUAUUUUUGGAGCCUGGUUGGUUGGUUGGCCGGUCCGAUUUUCUUGGUACUUCUGUUCUUUGUUUGGUCUUCGCUGUGUAUACAUAGUACUAUAACUGAUCGGAGGCAAGGUUUGUUUAGAAAAAUCAGAUCUGGAUGUAACCUAACAAUAAUCCUCUUUGUCUUUCUCUCUCUUCCCCAUCCAUUAACAAGAUUAGGAUCGAUGGAAAUUACCAAAAGAGAUCGAGGUACGCAAUAAUGUGACUGUUUUCCAUCCAUGUGUCUUGCUAAUUGAUUUCCCUUUUUCACGGCCAAGCAGUGGCGCACAAAAAUUUCAUUUUACUAAUGGGCUUGACUUGAUUCAUCUGCUCUCUCUUUACGAGAGGAAGCUGAAUCGGGAUAAAUCAUUAGAAGUAAAAGGAGCCUCAACAAGCACCAACAACCAAUAUGUGACUGCUCUGACGGGCGGCGGCGGCACCGAUAGUGUACGGCUUCAUAUGUCGAUGACUGCUUGCUUUAGCGUUGCAUGGAUCGGAGACCUACGACUUCAUCUCUGCCACGACGAACGACUGUACCUGGCCUUACGUGUGAAUGGUCUCGCACAGUGGUGGCCACGAUGAUAUACAUACAACUGCACACAACCGACUAGUGACUACUCCCGGCAACAACGACGAACGGCUGCUCACAACCGAUGACUGCUCCUGUGUCGAGACAACGAUGACUGCUCCUGUGCUCUGAUGGGUAUAUUAAGUUGAUCAUUAAGUCAUAGAUUUGUGUAUGCACAUGCAUUAGCACGCAUCAUCAUCAGACAAACAACCCAUGUCCUCAAAAAAGUCUUCUAGCUAGUAUAUGCAGUUGCUUCAAGGUGUAGUAUGUCAUAGAUACUUCAUUUAAUUUUAUACUACAGUUACGUAAUUUUUCAAGAGGCAAUCUCACAAUAUACUAUAGUACUUGUACCUGUACAUGUGGAGAGAACAUUUUGAAUACGCCUUUCAA